GGAGAGGUGGCAGAGUGGUCGAAUGCGGCAGUCUUGAAAACUGUUGUUCGUUCACACGGACCGUGGGUUCAAAUCCCACCCUCUCCGCCA
rnacentral:tRNA from 1 species